rnacentral:rRNA from 1 species
AGAACGAACGCUGGCGGCAGGCUUAACACAUGCAAGUCGAACGCACUCUUCGGAGUGAGUGGCAGACGGGUGAGUAACGCGUGGGAACGUACCCUUCGGUUCGGAAUAACCCAGGGAAACUUGGGCUAAUACCGGAUACGUCCGCAAGGAGAAAGAUUCAUUGCCGAAGGAUCGGCCCGCGUCGGAUUAGCUAGUUGGUGAGGUAACGGCUCACCAAGGCGACGAUCCGUAGCUGGUCUGAGAGGAUGAUCAGCCACACUGGGACUGAGACACGGCCCAGACCUCCUACGGGAGGCAGCAGGUGGGAAUAUUGGAACAAUGGGCGCAAGCCUGAUCCGAGCCAUCGCCGCGUAGA